GGAGUGUCGCUCAUGUUGCCAGGCUGGAGUGCAGUGGCGCCAUCUCGGCUCACUGCAAGCUCCGCCUCCCAGGUUCACGCCAUUCUCCUGCCUCAGCCUCUGGAGUAGCUGGGACUACAGGCGCUCGCCACCAUGCCCGGCUAAUUUUUUGUAUGUUUUUAGUAGAGACAGAGUUUCACCAUGUUAGCCAGGAUGGUCUUGAUCUCCCGACCUCGUGAUCCGCCCGUCUCCGCCUCCCAAAGUGCUGGGAGCAUUCUUUACCUUUCAACUUUCCAAAAUGGUGCAGGCACCAAGUUUAAAACAGUGAAUGGAGCUACAAAGUUAUGCAGAAGCAGACACUAAGCUACAAGCUGUGUGCUAAUUUGAUUUCCCUAGAGGCAACUCUUGAGAUGUUUUGUGAGCAGUUGUAUGAACCCAAAAUGGAGUCAAGAGCUGGACUUAGACAGAUUGGAGCAUAAGAUCACAACUGCUAUGAAGACAUCAAUUAUGGCCAGACAUCCUUUACUAAACGGCAUCCCUCUGACCCUGCACAAUUUUUCAAAUUGUAACAGAACACAAGUCUUCCAAUGCCAGUUUUUUGUUUUUGUAUUUUUCAGAAUAGAAAACAAUGUACUGAGGAAAACAGAAAGUGAAGAAAGUAUAAGGGCUGCUGUAACAAAAUACGACAAACUGGUUGCCUAAAACAACAGAAACUUAUCCCACAGUCAAGGAGGCCAGAAGUCUAAAAUGAAGUCCCAACUGCUCGGAGGCUGAGGUGGGAAGAUUGUCUGAGCCAGAGAAGUUGCACCACUGUACUCCAGGCUGGGUGAAAGAACAAGACCCUUUCUAAAAAAAAAUUAAUAAUAAUAAUAAAGAAAUAAAAAAU
rnacentral:lncRNA from 1 species